UCUUCCCUCUGGCGGCGUGCCUAAUACAUGCAAGUCGAGCGAACGGACGAGAAGAUUGCUUCUCUGAUGUUAGCGGCGGACGGGUGAGUAACACGUGGAUAACCUACCUAUAAGACUGGGAUAACUUCGGGAAACCGUAGCUAAUACCGGAUAAUAUUUUGAACCGCAUGGUUCAAAGGUGGAAGACGGUCUUGCUGUCACUUAUAGAUGGAUCCGCGCUGCAUUAGCUAGUUGGUAAGGUAACGGCUUACCAAGGCAACGAUGCAUAGCCGACCUGAGAGGGUGAUCGGCCACACUGGAACUGAGACACGGUCCAGACUCCGACGGGAGGCAGCAGUAGGGAAUCUUCCGCAAUGGGCGAAAGCCUGACGGAGCAACGCCGCGUGAGUGAUGAAGGUCUUCGGAUCGUAAAACUCUGUUAUUAGGGAAGAACAUAUGUGUAAGUAACUGUGCACAUCUUGACGGUACCUAAUCAGAAAGCCACGGCUAACUACGUG
rnacentral:rRNA from 1 species